CCGGGGCAGGCACCUGGGGAGCCGGACUUUCGGUUGCCCUUGAAUUGGCUGCACCCACUUAGGUGCAGAAGGGCUACUUCCGAUGGCCCGGGCGGCCGGAGACCAGGUCGCGGGCGGUGCCCUUUGGGCUCCCCAGCCGUUCCCGCCGUUCUUACUCCUGGUUACUCCCCGCCGCCGGCUGUCACGUAAUUUCGAAGUCUUUGGUUCGAAGUUAUACAAACAGCGAGCGCGAGCUUGGAAAGUUUUUGGUGCAUUUUCUUAAAGUGGGUUCCUUGACAUCCCAGAACUGUGACCAGACGUCAUCCAUCCUCCUCCAGCCCCACCCGCAGCUCCCUUUGUCAUUCUCAGACCUUGCCGUUCCUCUGAGAUGUGCCAGGAGCGAUUGUCGAUGUUUCGUUGAUGUGGGUUUCCACCCGAGCUGCCGCGCUGAAAUCUGGACAGUAGCUGCCGGAGGGUGAGGUCAUGGUGAAAAUCCCCCUUCACCGGACACUGUGAUGCAGGCUCUUCCCUAGAAGGAAGCAGAUAAGCAAACAGACCGAGGACAAGAGCCGGCAAAUUUUAGGUUUCCUGCCAGAUUGCAGAGGAUAUGACCAGCCGAGGGACUUUUUUUCUAUCUUAGUAGCGGAUUCAGGCCAGGACACCUGAAGGGCUGCCAGGAGACAAGCGACAAGUGACAGCUGGCUUGGCAGAGAGACUGCAUCGCAAGGACCCCGGAAGCCGACUUCUUCUCUCUUAGUAUUCUAGUUUAAAGUGGAAAAAGGCAUUUGGGUCGGUCUCUGUUUAUGGCAGGGCAGCCCUAAUGCUCCUUGAUUGGGGCUUCUGGGGCUCAGAAACUUCUGUGUCAGGCACUGAGGUGAGAAGGAGGUCAGCAGUCUGAGCGGCUCAUGAACACGUUUAAAUUUAAAAAUCAGUGCUAAUCAGUUUACUGGCCGGGUUGGGUUAAUGGCUGAGGAGCCUCAUGACUCGGUAAAUUGGCUGCAGUAAACAAUACCUACAGUAGGAUUACCUCCUGUUGUCCUGGCCGAGCCCACAGGGGUGGAUAAGCUACAAUAUACAAAGUAGGGUCAGUUCAACUCCAGUAUCUGUGGAUUGAUAGGGUCAGAAGCACUAGGCCAUGCCUUCAGGCAGAAUCGAUGGUAAAAGUCCACCCGGGAUGCAAGAUAUCUCUGUAGCCUCAGCUAGUGUUUGGGAAGUUCUGUUCUCCAACCAUGAGAGGACAGACCUCUGCCCAGGACAGGGAUAUAGCAUUGGCCCCCAAACACCCAUUUCUAUGUGGACUUCAGAUGCUAAUUUGAAUUCUACAAAAGCAGGAAGAGAGAAGCCUAUCAGUUAGUUAGUUAACAUCUUUUUUUCUUUUUCCAGUAGUGUGUGCAACAUAAUUGGAGAACCAAGGAUCUCUAGGAGGCAGGAAGGUAUUCCCGCCCUGCCAGUUCAUGUUGUGACAUGUAGACCAGCAGAGAAAGUUGUUCCAAGCCCUGCCUGUAACCUUCUGUUGGAACGAGCUUGGCUCAGAUCAAGCCCAGCUGCUCUAAUCAGUGUUUCUGAAAAAAAGAGACCUCUUUGGGCCCAGCCUGGAGUCUGGCUGCAGUUGUCCAACUGCUUCUAACUGUCUGGUCAUCAAGCCACCUUGAAAACAUGAGCAUUAAAAUGAGCUAGAGGUUUGGUGACUCCUCGGAAAGUUAAACAUAACAAUUGCCCUAUGACCCAGCAAUUCCACUCCCAGGUAUAUACCCAAAAGAAAUGAAAAGAGGCGUUCAAAGAAAAAAAUGUACACCUGUGUUCAUGGCAGCACUAUUCAGAAGAGCCCAAAGGGGUGAACAACUCAUAGAUCCAUCAAUGGAUGGAUGGAUAAACAAAAUGUAGUGUACCCAUGCAACGCAAUUAUUCAGCCAUAAAAGCAAAUGAAGUACUAACACGUGCUACAAUGUGGAUGAACCCUGAAAACAUUAAUGCUACAUGAAAAAGCCGGUCACAAAAGGCCACACAGGGUCUGUUGAUAACAACAGUGAGAAAAAUACACGCAUAUUGGAUGUUGUCCCCCAAAUCUGAACUCUGAAGUAGGGCGGGGUUUAUUCAUUUUCAACAGCACCGGAGGUGUCAGGCAAGGAUCCAGCUGCCAUAUUGUGAGGACCCUCAAGCAGCCCCACGCAGGGGUCCACGUGGGAAAGAACUGAGGCCACUGCCAACGGCCAGCACCAACUUGCCAGCCUCGUGAGUGAGCCAUCCGGGAAGCAGAUCCUAGUCAAGCCCCAGGUAAUGGCUUGUCUGCAGCCUCUUGAGAGAUCCUGAGUUAGGACCAGGCAGCUGUAAGUGGCUGCCGAACUCCUGACCCACAGAGACUAAUAAUA